CCUACGGGCGGCAGCAGUGGGGAAUAUUGGACAAUGGGCGAAAGCCUGAUCCAGCCAUGCCGCGUGUGUGAAGAAGGCCUUCGGGUUGUAAAGCACUUUCAGUGGGGAAGAAAGCCUUGGGGCUAAUACCCUCGAGGAAGGACAUCACCCACAGAAGAAGCACCGGCUAACUCCGUGCCAGCAGCCGCGGUAAUACGGAGGGUGCGAGCGUUAAUCGGAAUUACUGGGCGUAACGCGCGCGUAGGCGGUCUGAUAAGCCGGUUGUGAAAGCCCCGGGCUCAACCUGGGAACGGCCUCCGGAACUGUCAGGCUAGAGUGCAGGAGAGGAAGGUAGAAUUCCCGGUGUAGCGGUGAAAUGCGUAGAGAUCGGGAGGAAUACCAGUGGCGAAGGCGGCCUUCUGGACUGACACUGACGCUGAGGUGCGAAAGCGUGGGUAGCAAACAGGAUUAGAUACCCGUGUAGUC
rnacentral:rRNA from 1 species